CCUACGGGUGGCUGCAGUGGGGAAUAUUGGACAAUGGGCGAAAGCCUGAUCCAGCCAUGCCGCGUGUGUGAAGAAGGCCUUCGGGUUGUAAAGCACUUUCAGUGGGGAAGAAAGCCUUGGGGCUAAUACCCUCGAGGAAGGACAUCACCCACAGAAGAAGCAUCGGCUAACUCCGUGCCAGCAGCCGCGGUAAUACGGAGGGUGCGAGCGUUAAUCGGAAUUACUGGGCGUAAAGCGCGCGUAGGCGGUCUGAUAAGCCGGUUGUGAAAGCCCCGGGCUCAACCUGGGAACGGCAUCCGGAACUGUCAGACUAGAGUGCAGGAGAGGAAGGUAGAAUUCCCGGUGUAGCGGUGAAAUGCGUAGAGAUCGGGAGGAAUACCAGUGGCGAAGGCGGCCUUCUGGACUGACACUGACGCUGAGGUGCGAAAGCGUGGGUAGCAAACAGGAUUAGAUACCCUAGUAGUC
rnacentral:rRNA from 1 species